rnacentral:rRNA from 1 species
UGUCCCUACGGGAGGCAGCAGUGGGGAAUAUUGCACAAUGGGGGAAACCCUGAUGCAGCGACGCCGCGUGAGCGAAGAAGUAUUUCGGUAUGUAAAGCUCUAUCAGCAGGGAAGAAAAUGACGGUACCUGACUAAGAAGCUCCGGCUAAAUACGUGCCAGCAGCCGCGGUAAUACGUAUGGAGCAAGCGUUAUCCGGAUUUACUGGGUGUAAUGGGAGCGCAGGCGGCAUGGCAAGUCUGGUGUGAACGGCCGGGGCUCAACCCCGGGGCUGCCUUGGAAACUGCCAGGCUGGAGUGCUGGAGAG